rnacentral:rRNA from 1 species
UAUCCCGCAAGGGAGUCGAGUCGAGGUGCUGCAUGGCUGUCGUCAGCUCGUGUCGUGAGAUGUUGGGUUAAGUCCCGCAACGAGCGCAACCCUUGUCCUGUGUUGCCAAUCCGCAAGGAAGCACUCUCAGGAGACCGCCAGCGAUAAGUUGGAGGAAGGUGGGGAUGACGUCAAGUCAUCAUGGCCUUUAUGUCCAGGGCUACACACGUGCUACAAUGGGCGGUACAAACCGACGCCAACCCGCGAGGGGGAGCAAAUCGGAGAAAACCGUCCUCAGUUCGGAUUGCAGGCUGCAACUCGCCUGCAUGAAGCUGGAAUCGCUAGUAAUGGUAUAUCAGGACGAUACCGUGAAUACGUUCCCGGGCCUUGUACACACCGCCCGUCACAUCACGAAAGUGGGUUGUACUAGAAGUCUGCAGGCUAACCCGCAAGGGAGGCAGCGGCCCAAGGUAUGACUCAUGAUUGGGGUGAAGUCGUAACAAGGUAGCCGUAGGAGAACC